rnacentral:tRNA from 1 species
GAGGGUAUAGCUCAGUGGUAGAGUGCAUGCUUAGCGUGCUGCACGAGGUCCUGGUUUCAAUCCCCCGUACCUUCA